UCUUCAGAUAAUUUGAAAUUGUGUGAAUCAUUAAUUUACUUAUAAACAUUAAACAAACGAUAAUCUAAAAUAUAGCAUCAAAAAGUUCUUCGACCCUUGUCUGUCUAGACAGCAUGUCGGCCAUCUUUGUUGGUCGACGCAAUUAUUGUUCACGUCAAAUAUUUUUAACUGUAAUGUGUUUUUUCAUAUAAAAAUAUAUAUACAUAGUUAUUAAUUUUAAAAUACCUUCAUUCGAUUGUAGAACAAAAUAGUUAUUAUUAGAUAAAUAAAAUACAGGGAUUCCGGAUCUGUUUAAUAACUACAAAAAAAUCUUUCGAUUUCUAGUUUUAAAAAUGCUGAAAAUUUUUAUAGGAAACUUUGAAAAUUUUCAGUAUAUCGAUAGAAAAUAGUUUUUAUCUUAAAAUUUUCGUGAAACGGAUUGAAAAUAAACAUUAAAAGUGAUUUGCUUUUCUUUGAUGUUUGUGGCGUGUUUACAAUAAUCCGAUAAAGAAUUUUCCUUGUUUUAAUACAAUAUUGUGUUGUGAAAAUUAUGGAUACCCGGAAAAUUCUCAACUACCAAGAUGGUAAUUUCCUUAUUUGUGAAUUGGUUAAAGUUUAUUCUGGAACAACACAUCUAAAGGGCCUAGAGCAACUGUUUCAGGCAAAUUAAAGUUAUUUUUCAAGUUACGGAAGACACUUCAAUGUUACCUCGAUGAACAUGAAGUCUGAGAAGUCUCGGCUGAAUCCAUCUUGAAUCACAAUCCAUUUGAAAACAAAUAUGAAACUUGAGCUGACAACUCUUAAAUUGAAAAAAGAUUUGAAGAGUACCUGAUGCCUCCAAUGUAAAAGCAGCCAAUGUUUCUGUAUGAAAGUGUUAUCAAAGAUAAGGAUGACAAGUGUCAAUUCCAUUACUAUUCAAUCCUGAUGUUUCUUUUGUUGAAAAAAUAAAUAAAGUAUUAAAAAUGAAUACACCAAACCAAGUGACAUUUAUAUUAGUUGGAAUAUCAUUUUAAUAUGGAAUAAAAGUUCCAAAACUGUAGCAUCUUAUUAGUAGUUUUACAUAAAUGAAAGUAAGUGUGUUAAUAAUUCGAAAAUUAUGCCAACAGUUUAAUCAACUAUUAAAUUAUCAGGAGAUAAAGCAUGGUGGAAUGUGAGUAUGGAUUAGAUUUUCUGUUUCAUUUAGUAUCAAACUGAAAACAAAAUUUCGAAAUGGAAGAUGCCGUUUGUGCAAUUUAUGGGAGUUACAUCUUCGUGCAUUGCUUACUUGUGAUGGACUGUUAUGGAUUUCACUUGAGUAGAAUUUUUUUAUAUAUAAUAUAAUGUGAGCCUCUGUUAAAUAACAAAAGUUCUUUCAUCUUUUAGUUAUAAACAACUUAUAAUAAAAUCAGGUAUUGAAACAAAAAGGGGUAUCAUAAGAUACCAAAAUUUCAUUCCCUAUGACUAUUAGAAAUAUAGGUUUCCAUUGAAACUUAGAAAUGGAACUUACAUUGUAGAUGUACCUCGUAUGAAGGAAAUUCUAAAAUCAGUUAUUCAAAUUUUUCUAAAAUUUUCGGUCCGAAUUAUUGCAUAAAAUUUUGAUUGAAAUGAUAUUUUUUGUUAUUUAAUGAGUGAGCAGACCUUUGAUCAGUUGCUGUUGGUUUUUGUACUUUUGGGAAUUCUAGGAAUAUUUUAUUGAGAUUAAUAUAGUUACAGAUAUUAAUUAAUGAAGAAAAAUAGUUUGAAUUAAUUUUUGAAUAACUUUUUUAACAUUCAGAAAGUUUUAACAAACAUCCAAUUAAACUUACAAAACAAUGUUUUCGAAAUUUUUAGGGAUCUUUUGAAGUAUAAAGUUAAAUUUGAAUAUUUUAUUUCUUGUUAAUCUCGAUAGAAUUGAUUAUGUUGUGAUUAGAAUUUUGCGUAAAAAUUAGGGAAAUGGAAUGAAAUAUGAAAUCGAAAUGAAACAGUGUGAAAAAAUUAUAUCUCAAGAAAAAUUAUUCGAAAUCAAUCUAUAACUUUAAAUUAAAGGAAUCAUUUGAAAACAAUAAGUAUAUAAAAGUAUCUAAUUCUGAAUUUUCAACUUAUAAUGGUUUACUAUGGAGUCUGGUAUGUUUAUUUUAGGGACCAUCAUUGCACCCUUUUUUUGUUAAAAGUAUCAUAUAUUUUUCUACAUUGGUUAUCGAUAAUUUACAAGAGGUAUAAUAUAUUUGGAAAACAACAGUGCACUGCAGUUUUGGAACCCUUUUUAACAGUUUGUAGGUAGAAUAGUUUGUUUACAUUAUAUCGAGGGUUUAAUACAGAUAAAGAAAAAUGACCAUGCAUGCAUUCCCUUCUUGGAUGCCUUUGUCUUUGUUCCAAGAAUUGUGUGUUUACAUUUCAAUCUUAUUUUUGGCAUUUAUGAGAUUAUGUUCAACAGAAUUCUUAAAUAGAUAAGGACCACCCUACACUAUGAGAAAUUUUGAAAUCACUGUAUUCUAGUUGAAUAAUCGAUGGUAAUACCAAAAUAACUAUACAUGUUGAGGGUUUAUUACUAAUAAACGAAAAUUGACCGUGAAGCACCUUCUUCCAUGCCUUUGUUUUUGUUGGAAGAAUUUUUUAUUUAGUUUGCAUUUCGAAUUGAUUUUUAAUAUUCCUGAGAAACAUAACGUUUAAUAGAAUAUUUUCUGAUGUUUAUCUAAUUUGGGGAUGGAACCACCCCCCAUCCAUGGGAAAUUUUCAAUUCACAGUAUUUUCGAUAAACAAUCAAAAAUAAUACCAAGAUAACAAAAAUGUUUUGAUUUAUAUGCAGCCAUUCUUUUGAAAGUUGAAAUUGUUUUAGUCAGUAAUAUUGUUCUAAAUUCUACGUUUUUUAAUUAAGAAACAUUCUCAUGUACCUGUAUUCACUAAUGAAAUUACUAAUUCCAAAAACGAAGAUAUGUCGUAACACAUUAAAAGUAUACAGAUUCCCAAAAGGAAAUUACUAUUAUUUGCUGCCCAUAAACUCUACUUAUAUAGUCAUUAUAUUGCUUUAUUUAUUUUAUCUUUGAAAACACUAUUUUAUUCAAUAUGUAAAUUAUAUAACAAAAUAUGUAAUAUUCAAUUACUUAUUAUUUAAUAAAUCAAAACUUUACAUCUUCUCAUAUCAUUGACCCCUUUCGAAUUCUUUGCAAAUGUCUAGACUUGUUUUUGACCUGCGCACUGUGAAUGUUGAAGUCCCAAGCUUUAAACAAUGCAUUUAAUUAUUUAGAUAAUGAAACUUUGACAGUAUUACAAAUUCCGGCAGACAUAUUUGAUGCUAAUUUUUCUAUUCCUGAAAUUUCGUGUAAUUUUGUUUUCGGUUGUGAAGUGAAAACUAUUUUCUUAUUGAUAUAGGUAAGAUAUAAUUCUCUUUAUGUAAAAAUUAACGAGAUUUGUCCAAUUAAAGUUUCCAGGAAAAUGAACGGAUUCAGUGUAUUACAUUUUAUGGAAUGCUAAGGUUUUAUUAUUUUUUUUUUAAUAUUUUCAAAGUAAUUAAAAUUAAGCAUUUUCUUCAGAUAAUUUGAAAUUGUGGGAAUCAUUAAUUUACUUAUAAACAUUAAAUAAAGGAUAAUCUAAAAUAUAGCAUCAAAAAGUUCGUUUAUCCUUGUCUGUCUGGACAGCAUGUCGGCCAUUUUUGUAGGUCGACGCAAUUAUUGUUCACGUCAAAUCUUUUCAACUGUAAUGUGAUUUUUCAUAUAAAAAUAUAUAUAGUUAUUAAUUUUGAAAUACCUUAUUUCGAUUGUAGUACAAAAUAGUUAUUAUUAGAUAAAUAAAAUACAGAGUUACCGGAUCUGUUUAAUAACGACAAAAAAAUCUUUCGAUUUCUAGUUUUAAAAAUGUGACUAAUGUUGAAAAUUUUUAAUGAAACUUUUGAAAUUUUCAGUAUAUCGAUAGAAAAUAGUUUUUAUUUUAAAAUUUUUUGUGAAACGGAUUUAAAAUAAACAUUAAAAGUGAUUUGUUUUUCUUUGAUGUUCGUAUUCGUGGCGUGGCGUGGCUUUGUUUUUGACUACCAAUGUUGACAUCAAUAAGUUUAAACAAUGCAUUUAAUUAUUUAAAUAGUGAAAUUUUGACAUUGUUACUAAUUCGGGCAGACAUGUAUAUUUUCUAUUAGUCAAAUUUCGUGUAAUUUCAUUUUAGAUUGUUAAGUAAAAACUAUUUUCUUAUUGAUAUAGGUAAGAUUUAAUUAUCUCUAUGUAAAAUCAACAAGAAUUAUCCAUCUAAAGUUUGUGUGAAUUCAGUUAAUUACAUUUUAUCGAAAGCUA